rnacentral:sRNA from 1 species
CGGACUUGGUUGCUGGCUUACCGCAAUUAUGAAAGGAGGAAAAAAGAAGGCAAGGAGGCCUGCACACCGUAAAAAAAGUGGAAGAGAAAAGGAAAGACCAAGCAACCCGGCUCUGGAUGAACAGAAGACCCGUCGGAAUUCAAGUUAAAAUCGGAAUUGAAAAAUUCGAAACAAAUCGCUUUAAAAAAUAGGGAUCACACGGCAUAUCAUCAUACUACUGCGAAAAAAAAAAAAAAA